rnacentral:lncRNA from 1 species
GCUAAAAUAAGAAUAAUAAAGUUUGUUUUAAAUGUGGCUUACCAGAUCAUUUUAUUUGAGAUUGCCCAGAGUUAUUUAAGAAAGAUAAAUUUCAGAAUGCAAGACCGAGCAAUACGACUGCGAGAGGGAGACCACUGAGAAAUACGGAGAAUGUGUCUAAUAGAAAAGGUGUGACUAGGGAUUCAGCUGUGAGAUUUGAGGCUAGAGCACC